UUUGUGAAAUUAGGUUAAAAUCACAAAACCUAGCGUCGUUUUUCUCUCCGACAAGGCGAUUUCCGGCACGAUUUUCGGCACGAUUUCCGGCGGUCUUCAAGUAGUUUCCAUCACCGUCCCGUCGUCGCUGCAACAUCUUCCCUCUGACAAGAUCUGGUUAGUUUCACGGCGAGCAGUGCUUCUGGUCUCAGAUGGGGGAGAUGUUGAAAGUAUCAAUGUUGUUUCAGCGAAUCAUUAAAGAUUCCAGAGGGCCACCCCGAAGACAACUCAUCACAAAGAUCUUGUUAGCUUCUCAGCUCUUGGCAUGGCUCGGUCUAGACGUUUAAGAGAGAUUCUCCACUGGUUGUUGAUAUGACAACAUCAAUCAUGAAACUCUGAGACGAGAAAAUUGCAAGACGGGUGGAAGCUUUGUAUCCGAGUAUGCAGACCAUGUAUAUAUACUUCUCAAAUGCAGCAUAUGAAGGAUAUUGCUGGUACUUUGGCGGCAGAAGAUGCUGGCCAAGUGGCUAAGCUUCGAUCAGUUCUGGAGUCCGUUGACCACAAAAGAAGAAAGAUUUUACAAUAAAUGAGAGGUGAUGCACAUUUGCUUAACUUGGAAGAAGGCAGUCCUCCUAUUCAACCCAGGUUCUUCAGCCCCAUUCAUCUCAUAAAAUGUGGAGUUAACACCAACUCAGAGCUAGUGAUCAAGGCUGAUGCACGCGUUCAAGAGCCCAAAGGAGGUGAACUUGAAAGAGUUUCCCAAGAGCUUCUGUUUUAGUAAAAGCAUGAGCUACUCAAGGCUCUACAAUUUGACGCAUUGUGUAUCUUAUAUAUUAUUUUCGGCGACUGGCCAAAUUUGGCGCAUUUAUGCUACCUUUGGGGUCCAUAUCCAUUGUGUGUAUGUAACUUCACUUUGUAUAUUGCUAUCAUUCACAGAUCAAUAAUUGUUUACUUUCA